AGUGAACGCUGGCGGUAUGCCUAACACAUGCAAGUCGAACGGCAGCACAGUAAGAGCUUGCUCUUACGGGUGGCGAGUGGCGGACGGGUGAGGAAUACAUCGGAAUCUACUUUUUCGUGGGGGAUAACGUAGGGAAACUUACGCUAAUACCGCAUACGACCUACGGGUGAAAGCAGGGGAUCUUCGGACCUUGCGCGAUUGAAUGAGCCGAUGUCGGAUUAGCUAGUUGGCGGGGUAAAGGCCCACCAAGGCGACGAUGCGUAGCUGGUCUGAGAGGAUGGUCAGCCACAUUGGAACUGAGACACGGCCCAGACUCCUACGGGAGGCAGCAGUGGGGAAUAUUGGACAAUGGGCGAAAGCCUGAUCCAGCCAUACCGCGUGGGUGAAGAAGGCCUUCGGGUUGUAAAGCCCUUUUGUUGGGAAAGAAAAGCAGCAGGUUAAUACCCCGCUGUUCUGACGGUACCCAAAGAAUAAGCACCGGCUAACUUCGUG
rnacentral:rRNA from 1 species